rnacentral:rRNA from 1 species
AAAGGAAUAGACGGGCACCCGCACAAGCGGUGGAGCAUGCUGUUUAAUUCGAAACUACGCGAAGAACCUUACCUAGACUUGACAUCCCGGGCAAAGCUAUAGAAAUAUAGUGGAGGCUAUCCCGGUGACAGAUGGUGCAUGGUUGUCGUCAGCUCGUGUCGUGAGAUGUUUGGUUAAGUCCAACAACGAGCGCAACCCUCGUCUUUAGUUACUAACAUUUAGUUGAGGACUCUAAAGAUACUGCCAGUGUAAGCUGGAGGAAGGUGGGGAUGACGUCAAAUCAUCAUGCCUCUUACGUCUAGGGCAACAGGCGUGCUACAAUGGCUGGUACAACGAGUCGCAACACGGCAACGUGAAGCUAAUCUCUUAAAGCCGGUCUCAGUUCGGAUUGAAGUCUGCAACUCGACUUCAUGAAGUUGGAAUCGCUAGUAAUCGCGAAUCAGAAUGUCGCGGUGAAUACGUUCUCGGGUGUUGUACACACCGCCCGU